AUUGAGGUAGAUGAGACUACUACAGCUUGUUGAGGGAGAUGGGACUACUACAGCUUGUUGAGGGAGAUGAGACUACUACAGCUUGUUGAGGGAGAUGAGACUACUACAGCUUGUUGAGGGAGAUGAGACUACUACAGCUUGUUGAGGGAGAUGAGACUACUACAGCUUGUUGAGGUAGAUGGGACUACUACAGCUUGUUGAGGUAGAUGGGACUACUACAGCUUGUUGAGGUAGAUGGGACUACUACAGCUUGUUGAGGUAGAUGGGACUACUACAGCUUGUUGAGGUAGAUGGGACUACUACAGCUUGUUGAGGUAGAUGGGACUACUACAGCUUGUUGAGGGAGAUGAGACUACUACAGCUUGUUGAGGUAGAUGGGACUACUACAGCUUGUUGAGGUAGAUGGGACUACUACAGCUUGUUGAGGUAGAUGGGACUACUACAGCUUGUUGAGGUAGAUGGGACUACUACAGCUUGUUGAGGUAGAUGGGACUACUACAGCUUGUUGAGGUAGAUGGGACUACUACAGCUUGUUGAGGUAGAUUGGACUACUACAGCUUGUUGAGGUAGAUGGGACUACUACAGCUUGUUGAGGGAGAUGAGACUACUACAGCUUGUUGAGGUAGAUGAGACUACUACAGCUUGUUGAGGUAGAUGAGACUACUACAGCUUGUUGAGGUAGAUGGGACUACUACAGCUUGUUGAGGUAGAUGGGACUACUACAGCUUGUUGAGGUAGAUGGGACUACUACAGCUUGUUGAGGUAGAUGGGACUACUACAGCUUGUUGAGGGAGAUGAGACUACUACAGCUUGUUGAGGGAGAUGGGACUACUACAGCUUGUUGAGGUAGAUGGGACUACUACAGCUUGUUGAGGGAGAUGAGACUACUACAGCUUGUUGAGGUAGA